rnacentral:rRNA from 1 species
CCUACGGGGGGCAGCAGUGGGGAAUUUUCCGCAAUGGGCGAAAGCCUGACGGAGCAAGACCGCGUGAGGGAUGAAGGCCUUUGGGUUGUAAACCUCUUUUCUCAGGGAAGAACACAAUGACGGUACCUGAGGAAUAAGCCUCGGCUAACUCCGUGCCAGCAGCCGCGGUAAGACGGAGGAGGCAAGCGUUAUCCGGAAUUAUUGGGCGUAAAGCGUCCGCAGGUGGCUUUCCAAGUCUGCUGUUAAAGCCCGAGGCUCAACCUCGGAUCGGCGGUGGAAA